AUCGUCACUCUUUAAAAUUAAUAUUUAUCAAACAAUAUAUACUUCUUUUUUAACUUCUCUAUUUUUAUGAGAAUUAGAGUGGCACCGUGAAUGACGAUAUAUAUCAAAUUUGAAAUUUUACUUUAUCCCAGUAAAUAGAUGUUUAUAACACAAUAUAACCGUGCGGUAUAAUUAUAAUAGAGUAAUUGCAAUAAAAUACCCAAUUCUUCUACGCUGUAAUGUGUAUGACCUUCGACCUCCACAAUCUCUCCUCUUCCUAACUGAUUGGUUGCCCACACUCGAAAUGAGUACGUAGUGUUUGGCACCAAAUGGUACACGUCUAUUUGUCUCUUUAAAAUAAUAAUAAGAAAGAAUCGUUAGUUUUAGUCUAAUUAAUUUACAGGAGAUGGAAUAACUCUGUAAUGCUGUCACAAAUUUUCAUUCUUACAUAACGUUAUAUACAUAUAUCUUCUUCUAAUUUCUUAAUAUAAAUAUAAAAUAUAAACAAACAAAAUUUGUCUAUAGUAUGAGUUGUAAAAAUUAUAAUUAAAAAAAAUAAACCGUCAUGUUCGACUUAUCUCGGCGUUACGUUUUCCAUCCCUGUUUUUCUAUUCUACUAUUUCAAAUAGUUUGCAAUAUUUACAGAAUUUGGAGGAAUGUGUGUUGGAAUAAUAGGUUUCCACUCUUCCGGCUCCUCGCCUGCAGCUGGUUUCAAACGAUAUUCGGCAGUGAAAUCUAUGAUAGGAUAACCGCCAGUUCCAGCCACUUCCCAGAGAAUGUUAGCCAAUAUUGUGGAUGGUUUAACCCAUACAUUGUGCAAGGCUGGAGGAGGUGCUAAACAUAGAAGAAAGCUAUCAUUAUAAAAUCUGGAGAAAAUACUUACUUUAAAAGUGAUUGAUUAACAAUAUUGCAAACGAUUUUGCAAACGCACUUCUGAUUUCCACGUUGAUUCUGGCUUUCACAGCAUCAUGGUCACCGUCCAGGCGAGUGCACGAAUAAUUGCCGGCGUCAUGCACACUAACAUUCAAUAGCAACAGCAUGCCAUUUCGCUCGACCUUCAGUCGCUCGAUCUGCCCAUCCUCUCGUCCCUCUCUUACCCACAUUACUUUUGCAUUCAAGUCUUCGGAAAGGACAUUCUCGUCGGCGCAAGCCAGCUGCAGGUCUCUACCCACGUCCACGGCGACGUGCCGCAUCGGUACGUCCACGGCCACUGCCUCCUGCCAUCCUACAAAUUCAUAAAUUUCAUUGCAAGAUUGUUCACUUUUAUUGUACGAUUCUAUCAAGACAUAUUGAGAAAAUUAAUUUGCGAUCUUGAACUGUAUAUCAACUAACAGAAAUUUAAAUUUGUUGCUUGUUCAGAAUAUAAUUUAUAAGUAAAUA